UCAUAUGCUUGUCUCAAAGAUUAAGCCAUGCAUGUCUAAGUGCAUGCCGCAUUAAGGUGAAACCGCGAAUGGCUCAUUAAAUCAGUUAUGGUUCCUUAGAUCGUACCAUCCUACUUGGAUAACUGUGGUAAUUCUAGAGCUAAUACAUGCCGACAAGCUCCGACCCUCGUGGGACGAGCGCUUUUAUUAGAACAAGACCAAUACGGGUCCGGUCAAACGGUCCGUCUCCCUUUUGGUGACUCUGGAUAACUUUGAGCAGAUCGCACGGUCCUAGCACCGGCGACGCAUCUUUCAAAUGUCUGACCUAUCAACUGACGAUGGUAGGUUAUAUGCCUACCAUGGUUGUAACGGGUAACGGGGAAUCAGGGUUCGAUUCCGGAGAGGGAGCCUGAGAAACGGCUACCACAUCCAAGGAAGGCAGCAGGCACGCAAAUUACCCAAUCCCGGCACGGGGAGGUAGUGACGAUAAAUAACAAUACGAGACUCACGCGGGAGUCUUCGUCAUUGGAAUGAGUACACUUUAAAACCUUUAACGAGGAUCUAUUGGAGGGCAAGUCUGGUGCCAGCAGCCGCGGUAAUUCCAGCUCCAAUAGCGUAUAUUAAAGUUGUUGCGGUUAAAAAGCUCGUAGUUGGAUCUCGGUGCCGGACCGGCAGUCCGCGUGGCUGCGGUACACUGCCGGCCUCGGGGCCAUCAAACCGGCCGUCUCUUGGUGCUCUUUACUGAGCGCCUUGAAGUGACCGGGACGUUUACUUUGAACAAAUUAAAGUGCUCAAAGCAGGCGCGACCCGCCCGCAUAGGCCAGCAUGGAAUAAUGGAAUAGGACCUCGGUUCUAUUUUGUUGGUUUUCGGAACCCGAGGUAAUGAUUAAUAGGGACAGACGGGGGCAUUCGUAUUGCGGCGCGAGAGGUGAAAUUCAUGGACCGUCGCAAGACGAACUACUGCGAAAGCAUUUGCCAAGAAUGUUUUCAUUAAUCAAGAACGAAAGUUAGAGGUUCGAAGGCGAUCAGAUACCGCCCUAGUUCUAACCAUAAAUGAUGCCGACCAGUGAUCCGCCGGACUUUAUUCCGAGACCCAGCGGGCAGCUUCCGGGAAACCAAAGUGUUUGGGUUCCGGGGGAAGUAUGGUUGCAAAGCUGAAACUUAAAGGAAUUGACGGAAGGGCACCACCAGGAGUGGAGCCUGCGGCUUAAUUUGACUCAACACGGGGAAACUCACCCGGCCCGGACACCGGAAGGAUUGACAGAUUGAGAGCUCUUUCUYGAUUCGGUGGGUGGUGGUGCAUGGCCGUUCUUAGUUGGUGGAGCGAUUUGUCUGGUUAAUUCCGAUAACGAACGAGACUCUARCCUGCUAAAUAGCUGGCCCAUAYAAUCGGUGCGCCGUGCCCUUCUUUCCCUUCNNNNNNNNNNNNNNNNNNNNNNNNNNNNNNNNNNNNNNNNNNNNNNNNNNNNNNNNNNNNNNNNNNNNNNNNNNNNNNNNUUAGAUGUCCGGGGCCGCACGCGCGCUACAAUGGAAGGUUGAGCAGGUCUGUUUCCCUAGUCCNAGAGGACCGGGUAACCCUGUGAGAUCCUUUCUUGGUUGGAAUCGGGGCCUGGAACCAACCCCGUGAACUAGGAAUUCCUAGUAGGCGCGAGUCAUCAACUCGCGCCGAUUACGUCCCUGCCCUUUGUACACACCGCCCGUCGCUACUACCGAUUGAAUGAUUUAGUGAGGUCUUCGGACUGGCGGYCGUGGCGGCUCUCGGGUCGCGGCGGCGUG
rnacentral:rRNA from 1 species